rnacentral:tRNA from 1 species
GAAAGAGUGAUUUGGUGGACUAAAGCGUCGGAUUGCUAAUCCGUUGUGCGAGUUAUUCGUACCGAGGGUUCGAAUCCCUCUCUUUCC